rnacentral:rRNA from 1 species
GGUGAAAGUGGGGGACCGCAAGGCCUCAUGCUAUAGGAGCGGCCGAUGUCUGAUUAGCUAGUUGGUGAGGUAAAGGCUCACCAAGGCGACGAUCAGUAGCUGGUCUGAGAGGACGAUCAGCCACACUGGGACUGAGACACGGCCCAGACUCCUACGGGAGGCAGCAGUGGGGAAUUUUGGACAAUGGGCGAAAGCCUGAUCCAGCAAUGCCGCGUGUGUGAAGAAGGCCUUCGGGUUGUAAAGCACUUUUGUCCGGAAAGAAAUGGCUCUGGUUAAUACCUGGGGUCGAUGACGGUACCGGAAGAAUAAGGACCGGCUAACUACGUGCCAGCAGCCGCGGUAAUACGUAGGGUCCAAGCGUUAAUCGGAAUUACUGGGCGUAAAGCGUGCGCAGGCGGUUGUGCAAGACCGAUGUGAAAUCCCCGAGCUUAACUUGGGAAUUGCAUUGGUGACUGCACGGCUAGAGUGUGUCAGAGGGGGGUAGAAUUCCACGUGUAGCAGUGAAAUGCGUAGAGAUGUGGAGGAAUACCGAUGGCGAA